rnacentral:rRNA from 1 species
CCUACGGGAGGCAGCAGUGAGGAAUAUUGGUCAAUGGACGAGAGUCUGAACCAGCCAAGUAGCGUGAAGGAUGACUGCCCUAUGGGUUGUAAACUUCUUUUAUAAAGGAAUAAAACGAGGCACGUGUGCCUUUUUGCAUGUACUUUAUGAAUAAGGAUCGGCUAACUCCGUGCCAGCAGCCGCGGUAAUACGGAGGAUCCGAGCGUUAUCCGGAUUUAUUUGGUUUAAAGGGAGCGUAGAUGGGUUGUUAAGUCAGUUGUGAAAGUUUGCGGCUCAAACGUAAACUUGCAAUUGAUACUGGCAGUCUUGAGUACAGUUGAGGUAGGCGGAAUUCGUGGUGUAGCGGUGAAAUGCUUAGAUAUCACGAAGAACCCCGAUUGCGAAGGCAGCUUACUAAACUGUGACUGACAUUGAUGCUCGAAAGUGUGGGUAUCAAACAGGAUUAGAUACCCUUGUAGUC